UGCCGUGUGAUGGAUGUGCAUUCUCAC
rnacentral:piRNA from 1 species